AGGCCACAAGCAUGCAGGAAGCGUGUUGGAGUCACAGAUUGCCAGACCUGGCUGUGAAGUUGCAUUUUUCAACUAAGAAGUAGAAGGUCCAGGUGCCCUUGAUGAUUAACCAGGCCCAGCGUUGAUGUGUACCAGAAAGUUUGGAAAACAGGUCCAAGUGGUAGAGAUAAAAAUCUACUGCAGUUGAAUUCGUUGAUAAGCCCAGGACAUGCCUCAGGGACGUGGCAUUUAUCCAUUUGCUCCAAUCUCUUUCCCAGCAAUCACUUAACAUUUGGGGGAGUUGGAGGAUAGCUGGGAGUAGGCAUGCAACAGCUUGUAAGGAGGGAGAGGCCUGUGGACUGUGGACUGGACAGGGUGUCCACUCUUUAAAUCCAGCCUUGGCAGUCUGCAAAAAUAAAUUCAAAAAUGUUCUUUGUUGUCUUA